rnacentral:rRNA from 1 species
ACGCUGGCGGCGUGCCUAAUACAUGCAAGUCGAACGAACUCUGGUAUUGAUUGGUGCUUGCAUCAUGAUUUACAUUUGAGUGAGUGGCGAACUGGUGAGUAACACGUGGGAAACCUGCCCAGAAGCGGGGGAUAACACCUGGAAACAGAUGCUAAUACCGCAUAACAACUUGGACCGCAUGGUCCGAGUUUGAAAGAUGGCUUCGGCUAUCACUUUUGGAUGGUCCCGCGGCGUAUUAGCUAGAUGGUGGGGUAACGGCUCACCAUGGCAAUGAUACGUAGCCGACCUGAGAGGGUAAUCGGCCACAUUGGGACUGAGACACGGCCCAAACUCCUACGGGAGGCAGCAGUAGGGAAUCUUCCACAAUGGACGAAAGUCUGAUGGAGCAACGCCGCGUGAGUGAAGAAGGGUUUCGGCUCGUAAAACUCUGUUGUUAAAGAAGAACAUAUCUGAGAGUAACUGUUCAGGUAUUGACGGUAUUUAACCAGAAAGCCACGGCUAACUACGUGCCAGCAGCCGCGGUAAUACGUAGGUGGCAAGCGUUGUCCGGAUUUAUUGGGCGUAAAGCGAGCGCAGGCGGUUUUUUAAGUCUGAUGUGAAAGCCUUCGGCUCAACCGAAGAAGUGCAUCGGAAACUGGGAAACUUGAGUGCAGAAGAGGACAGUGGAACUCCAUGUGUAGCGGUGAAAUGCGUAGAUAUAUGGAAGAACACCAGUGGCGAAGGCGGCUGUCUGGUCUGUAACUGACGCUGAGGCUCGAAAGUAUGGGUAGCAAACAGGAUUAGAUACCCUGGUAGUCCAUACCGUAAACGAUGAAUGCUAAGUGUUGGAGGGUUUCCGCCCUUCAGUGCUGCAGCUAACGCAUUAAGCAUUCCGCCUGGGGAGUACGGCCGCAAGGCUGAAACUCAAAGGAAUUGACGGGGGCCCGCACAAGCGGUGGAGCAUGUGGUUUAAUUCGAAGCUACGCGAAGAACCUUACCAGGUCUUGACAUACUAUGCAAAUCUAAGAGAUUAGACGUUCCCUUCGGGGACAUGGAUACAGGUGGUGCAUGGUUGUCGUCAGCUCGUGUCGUGAGAUGUUGGGUUAAGUCCCGCAACGAGCGCAACCCUUAUUAUCAGUUGCCAGCAUUAAGUUGGGCACUCUGGUGAGACUGCCGGUGACAAACCGGAGGAAGGUGGGGAUGACGUCAAAUCAUCAUGCCCCUUAUGACCUGGGCUACACACGUGCUACAAUGGAUGGUACAACGAGUUGCGAACUCGCGAGAGUAAGCUAAUCUCUUAAAGCCAUUCUCAGUUCGGAUUGUAGGCUGCAACUCGCCUACAUGAAGUCGGAAUCGCUAGUAAUCGCGGAUCAGCAUGCCGCGGUGAAUACGUUCCCGGGCCUUGUACACACCGCCCGUCACACCAUGAGAGUUUGUAACACCCAAAGUCGGUGGGGUAACCUUUUAGGAACCAGCCGCCUAAGGUGGGACAGAUGAUUAGGGUGAAGUCGUAACAAGGUAGCCGUAGGAGAACCUGCGG